CUGCAUGAUGAAAAAUAGGAGAUGCAACACCAGAUUGAGCAGAGAAAGAUGUAUCAAAAGACCUCCCAGUACUCUUUGGAA